UCACUUGUUUAUCAAAAACAUGUCUUUUUGAAUAUUAAUUUAAGGUCUAACCUGCCCACUGAAAAUUUUGAAGGGCCGCAGUAUUCUGACUGUGCAAAGGUAGCAUAAUCAUUUGCCUUUUAAUUAAAGGCUAGAAUGAAUGGUUGAACGAGGUGUAUACUGUCUCAUUUUUAUAAUUUAAUAAUUUAGCUUUUCAGUUAAAAGGCUGAAAUGUUAUUAGAGGACGAGAAGACCCUAUAGAACUUUAUAAAUUUAUUUAUAGAUAAUAUUAGUAUAAAAUAUUUUUUUAUAUUUUAGUUUUAUUUUGUUGGGGUGACAGGAAGAUUAAGUUAACUCUUUUGAAAUUUAAACAUUGAUUUAUGAAUUUUUGAUCCAUUUUUAAUGAUUAUUAAAAUAAGUUACCUUAGGGAUAACAGCGUAAUUUUAUUGGAGAGUUCAUAUCGAUAAUAAAGUUUGCGACCUCGAUGUUGAAUUAAAGAAAUUCUUGAGUGUAGCAGCUUGAGAUAAUAGGUCUGUUCGACCUUUAAAUCUUU
rnacentral:rRNA from 1 species